GACGAACGCUGGCGGCGUGCUUAACACAUGCAAGUCGAACGGAAAGGCCCUGCUUUUGUGGGGUGCUCGAGUGGCGAACGGGUGAGUAACACGUGAGUAACCUGCCCUUGACUUUGGGAUAACUUCAGGAAACUGGGGCUAAUACCGGAUCGGAGCUCCUGCUGCAUGGUGGGGAUUGGAAAGUUUCGGCGGUUGGGGAUGGACUCGCGGCUUAUCAGCUUGUUGGUGGGGUAGUGGCUUACCAAGGCUGUGACGGGUAGCCGGCCUGGGAGGGUGACCGGCCACAAGGGGCCUGCGAGACGGAGCAGACUCCUACGGGAGGCAGCAGGGGGGAAUAUUGCACAAUGGGCGGAAGCGUGAUGCAGCAACGCCGCGUGCGGGAUGACGGCCUUUGGGUUGUAAACCGCUGUCGCCUGUGACGAAGCGUGAGUGACGGUAAUGGGUAAAGAAGCACCGGCUAACUACGUG
rnacentral:rRNA from 1 species